ACAGAGGUGCCGAGCGUUAGGCGGAAUCACUGGGCUUAAAGCGUGUGUAGGCGGAUCCGUAAGUACCUUGUGAAAUCCCACGGCUCAACCGUGGAACUGCUCGGUAUACUGCGGGUCUUGAGCCACUUAGGGGCAACCGGAACAAACGGUGGAGCGGUGAAAUGCGUAGAUAUCGUUUGGAACGCCGAUGGUGAAAACAGGUUGCUGGGAGUGCGCUGACGCUGAGACACGAAAGCCAGGGGAGCGAACGGGA
rnacentral:rRNA from 1 species